rnacentral:rRNA from 1 species
AUUGAACGCUGGCGGCAUGCCUUACACAUGCAAGUCGAACGGUAACAGGUCUUCGGAUGCUGACGAGUGGCGAACGGGUGAGUAAUACAUCGGAACGUGCCCGAUCGUGGGGGAUAACGAAGCGAAAGCUUUGCUAAUACCGCAUACGAUCUACGGAUGAAAGCAGGGGACCGCAAGGCCUUGCGCGAACGGAGCGGCCGAUGGCAGAUUAGGUAGUUGGUGGGAUAAAAGCUUACCAAGCCGACGAUCUGUAGCUGGUCUGAGAGGACGACCAGCCACACUGGGACUGAGACACGGCCCAGACUCCUACGGGAGGCAGCAGUGGGGAAUUUUGGACAAUGGGCGAAAGCCUGAUCCAGCCAUGCCGCGUGCAGGAUGAAGGCCUUCGGGUUGUAAACUGCUUUUGUACGGAACGAAAAGACUCUGGUUAAUACUUGGGGUCCAUGACGGUACCGUAAGAAUAAGCACCGGCUAACUACGUGCCAGCCGCCGCAGUAAGAC